AUCCGGUGGUUCUGCGUGGAAGGGCCAUCGCUCAACGGAUAAAAGCUACCCUGGGGAUAACAGGCUUAUCUCCCCAAAGAGUCCACAUCGACGGGGAGGUUUGGCACCUCGAUGUCGGCUCAUCACAGCCUGGGGCUGUAGUAGGUCCCAAGGGUUGGGCUGUUCGCCCAUUAAAGUGGUACGCGAGCUGGGUUCAGAACGUC
rnacentral:rRNA from 1 species